UGCCUGCCCGGUGAUAAGAAAAUUAAACGGCUGCGGUACUCUAACCGUGCAAAGGUAGCAUAAUAAUUAGCCUGUUAAUUUCAGGCUGGAAUCAAUGGCAAGACGAAGGAAAUGCUGUCUCUUUACAUUUUGUAUGAAGUUUUCUUUUUAGUGAAGAGACUAAAAUAGUUAAGCGGGACGAGAAGACCCUAUUGAGCUUUAAUUUUAUUAUAGAGCGAUAUUUUAUAUAAUAAGGUUUUGAUUGGGGCAAUGAUUUUUUUAAUUAAACAGAUAAGAAUAAAGGAAGAAUUAAUUCUGUUGUACGACCCAGAAUGUUACUGGUAAACAGAAAAAGUUACCAUAGGGAUAACAGCGUAAUUCUUUUUGAGAGUACUUAUUGACAGAGGAGUUUGCGACCUCGAUGUUGGAUCAAGUUUACCUAAAGGUGCAGCAGCUUUUUAAGGUUGGUUUGUUCAACCAUUAAAAACUU
rnacentral:rRNA from 1 species